AGCGAACGCUGGCGGUAGGCCUAACACAUGCAAGUCGAACGAACUCUUCGGAGUUAGUGGCGGAUGGGGGAGUAACACGGCGGAACGUGCCGUUAGGCUCGGAAUAACUCAGGGUCACGUGUGCUAAUACCGAAUGUGUUCUUCGGGGGAAAGAUUUAUCGCCUUUGGGGCGGCCCGCGUCGGUUUAGCCAGUUGGGGAGGUAAAGGCGCAUCAAGGCGACGAUAAGUAGCUGGUCUGAGAGGAUGGGCAGCCACAUUGGGACUAGGACGCGGCGCAAAAUACUACGCGAGGCAGCAGAGGGGAAUCUUGCGAAAUGGGGGAAGGGAUGACGCAGCCAUGCCGCGUGAAUGAUGAAGGUCUUAGGAUUGUAAAAUUCUUUCACCGGGGACGAUAAUGACGGUACCCGGAGAAGAAGCCCCGGCUAACUUCGUG
rnacentral:rRNA from 1 species